GAUGAACGCUGGCGGCGUGCUUAACACAUGCAAGUCGAACGGUGAAGCCCAACUUUCCUGGUGUGGUACAGGCGCACGCGUGUGUGACACACGAGUACCACCUGCUUCUCUCUCUGGUAAAAGCGGUAGACACGGCCUAUAACCCUAGAUACGCGACCACUGCGCGUUGGGACUUGGUAAGAUGUUUUUCGGUUGGGGAUGGUCUCGCGGCCUAUCAGCUUGUUGGUGAGGUAAUGGCUCACCAAGGCGACGACGGGUAGCCGGCCUGAGAGGGCGACCGGCCACACUGGGACUGAGACACGGCCCAGACUCCUACGGGAGGCAGCAGUGGGGAAUAUUGCACAAUGGGCGAAAGCCUGAUGCAGCGACGCCGCGUGAGGGAUGACGGCCUUCGGGUUGUAAACCUCUUUCAGCAGGGAAGAAGCGAAAGUGACGGUACCUGCAGAAGAAGCACCGGCUAACUACGUG
rnacentral:rRNA from 1 species